UGGGGACUCCAAAUAGGUCCUGACACCACCUGCCACUGGUGACGCUGACUGACAGGUGUCUGUGCAUUUCGUGUUUCUGAACAGGCCUUUGGCAUUAUCUCCACAGCUAACAGUGAUGAGCACCUGAUAAUCUUGUAUUAUCCAAGCUGUGCUUGUGUAUGGAGGAACAUGAGACCAUAUAGUGCCUGAGAAGAAAGCAAAUUACUGGAAAACUAUUAUUAGAUGGGUGCACUAAGGCUGCUGGCACAAUGAAAGAAGCGAAAAUAGGAAGGGAGAUUGAGGGGACCACACAAGUGAGUGUGAGAUCAGGACAUGCAGGAAGUCUGAAGGAUGAAGAAUCUGGCAUGAUAAUGACUGAAGUAUUGACUAAAAGCCCAAAGUCUUUAUUGAAAUCAGGACCUCCUGACUUGGGUUUCCCUGGUUGCUUUGGGAAGGGAAUUCCACAGCUAGUCUGCUUGAGCACUGCCUGGCAGAGUGGCCUGAUUGACUUCCUGGACUCAUAGUACAAGUAAACAAAGAAUUUGAUGACAAAGGUGGGUUUUUUUUAAGUUUGGAGUUACCCAAACCUCCUCAGAUGUCCUCAGAUGCUCCAUGCAGUUGCAGUGUGAUGUUGGAGGUGUGGAUGUGCCAUAGCCGGGCACACUUUCAAGUUCUCCAAGUUCCUGAAGUCCUGUCUGAAAAUCAACCUAUGCAUUGUGCUGCCUCAGGGUCCCAAAGAUACAGAAUCCUGCAACUUCUGACUUCGUGUCCCUCUGGCAUGAUGCAGCUUGCCCCCCCUCCUGAGCUGUAGAGUUUUCAGAGAGGACAGAGAAUGGUUCAACCAGAUUUACCCAAAGUAUCUUCUGGACCACAGCAGCUCUAGGAAAUGAAAGUUGCAGUUUCACUGUGGGUGUUGCAAAAUGAAACAAAAAAAAAUGAAAUGAAAGUGAAACCUUAAAAAGUCUGAUAAAAAAAAAAUAAGUAGCUACUAUUAGAGGAAUUCUUGAGUUCUUGAAUCUGGAUCCUCCCUUUUCCUAUUUCAGUAAAUGUUUAAAGCAAUUUAACUUAGUAGUUACUCAUAAUUUACAUUCAAUGAAAACUAAACUUAGAACAGGCUGAUUUGCUGAAAAUUAUUAUGGCCCACAACCUGCUAAAGUACUUUUCUACCCCCAUUUAACCCAGGCACAGCAGUCUGCUUCAAAAUUAACAUGUAAACAACCCUGUCCCUUUAACCACUAUCAUCUUCACUUCCAGAAAAACAAACUUUAUCAGGCAAAUUCAGAUGCAGAUUGCAUUUGCUCAAGCCAGUCCUCGUUAUCACUAAAGCCCAGAACUGUCCCCCAGUUCUGCAAAUGUGGACACCCAGGCACCUCACACAUUUUGGUAGAAUUUUUUUUUUUUUUUCUUAUCCACAUCCUCUUUUUAUUCCUAAGGACAAAAGCUCAUGCAUAGUUUAUUUCUGAUUUGUUUUUAACCUGAGACACCAUUUUUUAGCAGUUGACAAUGAGACUCUGUGUCUUGGUAGCUGAAUAAACGAACUUCAGUCUAUUCAGUCUUGGGACGAUGAAAACUUUUGGCAUAGAAUUUUUGUAGCACAACUACUAUGUUUGCUUCAUAUUAUCUGGUUCCUUUAUCCUGGAAAAUCCUGAGUGGCCUCUGCCAACAGGGAAUGAAGAACCUUUAUUCAAGAAGGGCUCUCUUGCCCAUGUGUGGUUUUAGCACCAUGGACAGAAUAAAUUGCGGGUAAUUGGUAAAGAUUAAAACAAAAUUUAGAAUAAAAGGUACCCUCCAAAAUUUAUGUGGAAUAAAUAUCAUGCAAGACUAGGAAUAUUCAUGCACACAGCAUGGGAAAAAACAUUCAUGCUGUUGAACCCAUCUGUCCUUCAGUUAUGGCACAUCAGAACCAUAGAGAAACUCUGAGGUUGAAAAAGACCUUCAUGAUCAUCAGGUCCAGCCAUCAACCCAGCACCACCUUGUUCAUCACCAAGCCAUGUCCCCAAGUGCCACUGCCACACCUUCUUUGACCAUUUUGACCACUUGUACCUCCUUACCCAGCAGCCAGAUUUCUCAGCUCUUCUUGGCCUGUAUUGUCCAAAAUCCUCACCUGUCUGACAGACAUGGUUACAACCGGCACAAAAGCAAGAUUAACAUGAAGAAACUAAAAAUGAAAACAUCUGAUGGGUAAAAUAUCAUCAUGGACUCGUGGUCAUUUGGGUCUGACGCCCAAUGAGAAAGAUCAGCAGGAAGAGCAUUUGAAAGCACUGCUAUUGAAAUUGCCUUAGGCUGAAAUUGGAGAUUCAGAUUAGAUAUCAGAAAAUAAAAUAUCAUGGUUAGGAGAGUCAGGCAUUGGAACAGUGGUCCAAGGAGGUGGUGGUCACUAUCCCUGGAGAUGUUCAAGAGGCAUUUGGAUCUGGUGCUGGGUGAUGUAGUUUAGGGGUCACAGUGGUACUGUUGGGUUGGCAGUUGAAUUUUAUUAUCCUUAAGGUCCCUUCCAACCUGGAUGAUUUUAUGGUUCUAUAUUUAACUAUUGAAAAAACACAUGGAUUUGGCACAGGUACAGGCCGUUCAUCAGGCUCUGCAUGACUAAGCUUAUGUGAGCAUCCAGCUCACAGCACAAUUCGCGUCCCAGCGUGUUGCGAGGGCCAGCACACCAGGCAUUUUUUAUUUUUUAUUGUUUCUGUCGGCAGCAGCACACGGGGCAGGCAGGGCAGCCCCGGCGGGGCGUGAGCAGGGCGGGGCAGGGCGACCGCCCCGGGGCUGGCGCUCCUUGAGGGACAAAGCCGAGCCGGGGGCUGAUGUCGGCUACUAUCUUAACCGCCCCGGGCGGCGGCUCAGGAGCCAAAGGUGCCCCCUCGG